CAGACAAUACCCUGAAACAAUGGGGAUCUAUCUUACAAGCUUUGAGCUCUGCUGGUUUGGAGGACUUUGUCUCCAAAGGAAGAUUGUGUCCACCAGUGAACACAGCAAUGGUUUCAUUGACUUGGAAGACAAGAAUGCCACCUAGCCAUUUGGGGCUUUAUAUGACACUGAACAAAAAAGCCAAACAAAAGGAUUAUAAUAGUUCCCCCUAUCCACUUAUUUAUGGCUUCACUUCUCAAAGUUUCAGUUUCCCACAGCCAACUGUGGUCUGAAAAUAUUAAAUGGAAAAUCACAGAAAUAAACAAUUCAAGAAUUUUAAAUUGCAUACUGUUCUGAGUAGCGUGAUGAAAUCUUGUGCUGCCAG
rnacentral:lncRNA from 10 species